rnacentral:rRNA from 1 species
UACGGAGGGUGCAAGCGUUGUUCGGAAUUACUGGGCGUAAAGGGCGCGUAGGCGGCCUUCUAAGUCGAACGUGAAAUCCCCGGGCUCAACCCGGGAACUGCGUCCGAUACUGGAAGGCUUGAAUCCGGGAGAGGGAUGCGGAAUUCCAGGUGUAGCGGUGAAAUGCGCAGAUAUCAGGAGGAACACCAAUGGCGAAGGCAGCACUCUGGGACGUGACUGACGGCUGAGACGCGAAAGCGUGGGGAGCAAACAGG